GUCGAGGAUCUUUUGCAAUGCCCGAAAGGGUGACAAUGCGACGCCGCGUGUGCGAUGAAGGUUUUCGGAUCGUAAAGCACUGUCGACCGGGAUGAAUCUCGGGAGGCUUAAUAAGCCUUCAGGGUGACAGUACCGGUAGAGGAAGCCACGGCUAACUCCGUGCCAGCAGCCGCGGUAAUACGGAGGUGGCAAGCGUUACUCGGAUUGAUUGGGUGUAAAGGGUGUGUAGGUGGUGAAUUAAGUCGAAUGUGAAAUCCCUUGGCUUAACCAAGGAACUGCAUUCGAAACUGAUUCGCUUGAGCGACGGAGAGGAAAGCGGAAUUCCCGGUGUAACAGUGAAAUGUGUAGAUAUCGGGAGGAACACCAGUGGCGAAGGCGGCUUUCUGGACGUUUGCUGACACUGAAACACGAGAGCUAGGGGAGCAAACAGGAUUAGAUACCCGGGUAGUCC
rnacentral:rRNA from 1 species